rnacentral:rRNA from 1 species
CGGAGGGUGCAAGCGUUAUCCGGAUUCACUGGGUUUAAAGGGUGCGUAGGCGGGCAAGUAAGUCAGUGGUGAAAUCUCCGGGCUUAACCCGGAAACUGCCAUUGAUACUAUUUGUCUUGAAUACUGUGGAGGUCAGCGGAAUAUGUCAUGUAGCGGUGAAAUGCUUAGAUAUGACAUAGAACACCAAUUGCGAAGGCAGCUGGCUACACAAAUAUUGACACUGAGGCACGAAAGCGUGGGGAUCAAACAGGAUUAGAUACCCUGGUAGUCCACGCCCUAAACUAUGGAUACUCGACAUUUGCGAUAAACUGCAAGUGUCUGAGCGAAAGCAUUAAGUAUCCCACCUGGGAAUACGAUCGCAAGAUUG